AUUGAACGCUGGCGGAAUGCUUUACACAUGCAAGUCGAACGGCAGCACGGACUUCGGUCUGGUGGCGAGUGGCGAACGGGUGAGUAACAUAUCGGAACGUAUCCAAUAAUGGGGGAUAACUAAUCGAAAGGUUGGCUAAUACCGCAUACGCCCUACGGGGGAAAGCAGGGGAUCUUCGGACCUUGCGUUAAUGGAGCGGCGGAUAUCUGAUUAGCUAGUUGGUGAGGUAAAGGCUCACCAAGGCGACGAUCAGUAGCUGGUCUGAGAGGACGACCAGCCACACUGGAACUGAGACACGGUCCAGACUCCUACGGGAGGCAGCAGUGGGGAAUUUUGGACAAUGGGCGCAAGCCUGAUCCAGCCAUUCCGCGUGAGUGAAGAAGGCCUUCGGGUUGUAAAGCUCUUUCGCAAGGGAAGAAAACUUACUUUCUAAUAAAGAGUGAGGUUGAUGGUACCUUGAUAAGAAGCACCGGCUAACUACGUGCCAGCCGCCGCGGUAA
rnacentral:rRNA from 1 species